rnacentral:rRNA from 1 species
GACAGAGGGUGCAAACGUUGUUCGGAAUUACUGGGCGUAAAGCGCGUGUAGGCUGCUCCGCAAGUCGGAUGUGAAAGCCCUGGGCUCAACCUAGGAAGUGCAUUCGAUACUGCAGAGCUUGAGUCCUGGAGAGGAAGGCGGAAUUCUCGGUGUAGAGGUGAAAUUCGUAGAUAUCGAGAGGAACACCGGUGGCGAAGGCGGCCUUCUGGACAGUGACUGACGCUGAGACGCGAAAGCGUGGGGAGCAAACAGG